GCUGGAGUAGCUCAACGGUAGAGCAGCUGAAUCGUAAUCAGCAGGUUGCGGGUUCGAAUCCCAUCUCCAGCUCCA
rnacentral:tRNA from 1 species